UACGGGGGGAGCAAGCGUUGUUCGGAUUUACUGGGCGUAAAGGGCGCGUAGGCGGCGCAACAAGUCACUUGUGAAAUCUCCGGGCUCAACCCGGAGCGGCCAAGUGAUACUGUCGUGCUAGAGUGCGGAAGGGGCUACUGGAAUUCUCGGUGUAGCGGUGAAAUGCGUAGAUAUCGAGAGGAACACCUGCGGCGAAGGCGGGUAGCUGGGACGGUACUGACGCUGAGACGCGAAAGCGUGGGGAGCAAACAGG
rnacentral:rRNA from 1 species